rnacentral:sRNA from 1 species
GUUGGGCAUGGUGGCACAUGCCUGUUAUCCCAGUGGCUUUGGAGGCUAAGGCAGGAGGAUUGCAAGUUGGAAGCCAGCCUCAGCAACUAGGGUGAGGUCCUGAGCAACUUAGCAAGACCCUGUCUCAA